rnacentral:rRNA from 1 species
GUCUAUGGGUCUACCACCCUGAAUGCACCCAAUCUCAGAAGCUAAGCAAGGUCGGGCCUGGUUAGCACUUGGAUGGGAAAAUGACCUUUUUUUUUUUUUUUUUUGAGACAGAGUCUUGCUUUGUUGCCC